UUUUUUUUUUUUUUUUUUUUUUUUUUUGGUCUUUUUAUGGAAACACUCAUGGCAUCACGAAGUUCCCAGAUUAGGGGUUGAAUUGGAGCUGCAGCUGCCAGCCUAUGCCACAGACACAGUGAUGCAGGAUCCAACUGCAUCUGUGACCUACACCAUAGCUCAUGGCAAUGCUGGAUCCUUAACCCACUGAACAGGGUCAGGAAUUGAACCUGCAUCCUCAUGGAUACUAGUUGUUCCCCCUGAGCCACAAUAGGAACUCUGAUUUUUGACAUUUAGAAGAAUGUAUAAAAUCUCUUAAUUUUGUGAAACUUUCUUUUUUGCUUUAUGUACCUUCUGCUUUUAACCUCAAAUUUGGAAAACAAAAGAAUUGGAGAUGUAUACUGACUAAAAUCUCCUUUCAAAAGGGUAUUCUAGGUGUUACAGUUAAUCAGUAGUUAAGCCAGCCAGAUUUGGAACAAAUUUCUUACUCUACCAGGUUUUUGUUUCUACUUCUGAGUUAUUUUAAGCAAUGCAAUAGUGUUUUGGAACCAGAGAUAAUAAAACUUAAUUUUUUAACUACGUGUAAGAGGCAGUGAUAUGGAUGGUGUUGUUUUCUUUCAUUAUUUAAGGAUAUUAUUCAUUGAAAAUUCUCAUCAUAAGAGAGCUUUGUGUGGGAAUUUUACAGGGAAAAUUGAGGAACUCUUUCCAACAAAAUCCUUAAAUUUAAUUACACUUAGAGUAUGCAUGCAUUUUCUAUUACAUAUAACUCUAGAUGCAAAAAGCUUAAAGGCCAAUCGCUGACUUCUAGAGGAGACUUUAUUACUGAAACUUGUCUAAGGUAAAGUAAAAUCAAAAAGUAGAGUUUAUGGUAAGGAUCAAGUCAUUUGAUACCUUCUUGUGUUUCUCCAUUGACCAUGUGAAAAUAACUUUUCUCACCUCUCAAUGUAGGCAAUUUAAUACAUUAUUAAUGCUUAUUGAGUAUUUUAAACUACUGCCUUCAAAUGUGUACACUAACAGAUAAUGGUAUGUGAGAGAAAUGCCUCAAGGAUGGCCUCACCUGUGUUACAAUGUUGACCUCUGCACAAACUCAGAUAAUGGCUGAUUUUUUUUUUAUGAAACCCAUGGUUAAUACAUGUUUCUCCAAACCACUGCUUCUAACAAUCUCCUUUCCUUUUCACGGAAAUUCAUCAAUAUGCUUUAGAGGCACUUCAUCAUCAUCCCUUCUUCUCUUUGUGAAUAGUCAGUAGGAAUAUAUUUCAGGGCUUCUAGAGCUCUAGCCAUUUCACACUCUCCCCUUAAAUUGUACCAUGCAGUUAAGUAGAAGGCAACAAGCUAGCUAAGUGUUCAGUUUAUUUAAGCUCAAUCAAAAAUGGAAUUUUACCCAAUUCUAGGUUUUCCAGGCUGAGUAGGGGGAAAUCCAGGGGCAGGAAAGCCAGAGUCAGAUUACUGAAAAAAUAAUUACACAUUAUGUAUGCAGUGUGCCUUUUCAAAUAUACACAGAAUUUGGUAUAUCAGUAUUUAGAGUGAGGUGUUAUUAGAUGACUUGAGAACUUAGAUGACUUCAAGACUUAUUCAGUUAAAAAACAAAUACUGUGCUUUAGCUGUGCUGAGGUAUGAGUGUGUACACCUGAAACAAUCAGUUGUACAGUUAAAUUCAUUAAGUAUUUAUUGAAUGUUCACCAUGGACUGAUCACUUUGCUCAGAACUGGGUGUAAAAGAUCAAUGGAAAGCAAUUCUUGCUCUCAACAAGUAGCCAACAUAUCAAUAUAGAACAGAGUACUAAGUGCUAUAAGAGAGCUGUUUGCAGCACUAAGAAUCAGGAGAGGAAUCUUCAAAAUGAUGACAGGCGAGAUGGAUCCUGAAGAUUGGGUAGGUUCUAUUAUAAUAGAACAUAAGGUGUUCUGAAAAUAAGAUAUUCCGACUUGAGGGGAAAGAUAGGAAAGAAGUAGAUAAUAAUAAAUAAUGAAGCUGGGAAAAGUAGAAUGGGAUUGGAUUUCAAGGAAUGUGAGUGUCCUAAUAAAUUUUGACUUUGGUCUCUAGGAAAUAAGGCAGCUUUCAAGGACUGCAAACUAUAGCAUGUAGAUCAGCGAUUCUCAAGGUGCAUUUGGAGGAUGGGGACAACUUUGCCUCCCAGGCAUCAUUUGAUGAUGUCUACAGACAUUUCUGGUUGUCACAGCUGAUGAUGUCCCAGUUUCCGUCUAGUGAGGAGAGAUCUCAGAUGCUGUUAAGCAACCUACAAAGCAAAGGAAAAACCUUGCAAUACAGAAAUAUCUAGUCCAAAGCAGCAAUAGUGCUUUUGCUGAGAAGAACUGAUGUAGCUGGUGGGGCAGUUAGACAUCUACAGUGGACUACUCGUUCAAGAUACUAUUGCUAGAGUUCAGACAGAAAACAAAGCCAGAACUUAGAGACUUAACAUACUUUAGGAGAGGACCCAAUGGAGAAAUACUUAAGAAGGGUAAUCUGUGCAGCUUGGUAGCUUAUUGGAUAUAGAUUUGAAUAUAGGAAAAAAACAUUGAAAAUGACUCAUUAAAUUUUCAAACUUGGGUAACUGAUAAUAGUGGAUCUAAUCAGUUUGGGGAAGUUACAUGAGUUUAACUCAUAAUAUGCUGGGCUUGGGGUUUCUGCAGUUCACUGACAGAGCUAUAUCACAGGCAGCAAUAAACUUGACUCGGAAAAAGUUUACUUACUUUGUCCAACGUCAAACAUUGAUGGCUUCAAUCCAAGCAUAUGGAACCAUAAGACAAUAAGCCAUAACAGGUAGGCUAAUUGAACACACCACACUCUUCAGUCAUAAAGGUGGAUCAAUGGAGUAUAAGUUAGUAUUGAUCAUUUUUCAUAAGAAAUUUGCAAUGUUUUAUUUUAAAUGUUAAUAUGAGAUGAUAAUGUGAUCUGAUGGAGCAAAGACAGUUCUGAUGGGAGUAUGGCCUACAAAACAGUUUUCAAAUGGUGAUUGGUCAAUGUAUUAAGAUCUUCCUACCUCUUGGCCCAAUCAUUUAAGUCCUAGGGAACAAAUGAGAGUUGAAUUAAAACUUUCAAAUGAAAAGAUAGUCAUCACAGAAUUAUUUAUAAAAGUGAAUAGUUGGAGUUCCCGUUGUGGCUCAGCGGAAACAAAUCAGACUAGGAACCAUGAGGUUGUAGGUUCACUCCCUGGCCUUGCUCAGUGGGUUAAAGACUCAGCGUUGCUGAGAGCUGUGGUAUAGGUCGAAGAUGUGGCUUAGAUCUGGCAUUGCUGUGGCUGUGGUGUAGGCCGGCAGCUGUAGCUCCAAUUAGACCCUAGCCUGGGAACCUCCA
rnacentral:lncRNA from 1 species